rnacentral:rRNA from 1 species
AGAGUUUGAUCCUGGCUCAGAACGAACGCUGGCGGCGUGGAUAAGACAUGCAAGUCGCACGGAGAAAAGAUAGUUUACUAGCUUUUCUGAGUGGCGCACGGGUGAGUAACACGUGAGCAACCUGCCUCUUAGUGGGGGAUAGCCCUGGGAAACCGGGAUUAAUACCGCAUAUCAUCGCAAGAUGAAAGCAGCAAUGCGCUAAGAGAGGGGCUCGCGGCCUAUUAGUUAGUUGGUGAGGUAACGGCUCACCAAGGCGAUGACGGGUAGCCGGUCUGAGAGGAUGUCCGGCCACACUGGAACUGAGACACGGUCCAGACACCUACGGGUGGCAGCAGUCGAGAAUCAUUCACAAUGGGGGAAACCCUGAUGGUGCGACGCCGCGUGGGGGAAGAAGGUCUUCGGAUUGUAAACCCCUGUCAUGUGGGAGCAAGCUAGCAAUAGUUGAUAGUACCACAAGAGGAAGAGACGGCUAACUCUGUGCCAGCAGCCGCGGUAAUACAGAGGUCUCAAGCGUUGUUCGGAAUCACUGGGCGUAAAGGGUACGUAGGCUGUACCAUAAGUCGGGCGUGAAAGGCA